UACGUAGGGUGCGAGCGUUGUCCGGAAUUAUUGGGCGUAAAGGGCUCGUAGGCGGUUUGUCGCGUCGGGAGUGAAAUCCACUGGCUUAACUGUGGGCGUGCGGUCGAUACGGGCAUCACUGGAGUUCGGCAGGGGAGACUGGAAUUCCUGGUGUAGCGGUGAAAUGCGCAGAUAUCAGGAGGAACACCGGUGGCGAAGGCGGGUCUCUGGGCCGAUACUGACGCUGAGGAGCGAAAGCGUGGGGAGCGAACAGG
rnacentral:rRNA from 1 species